rnacentral:misc_RNA from 1 species
GAAAUGCGAUAAGUAAUGUGAAUUGCAGAAUUCAGUGAAUCAUCGAAUCUUUGAACGCACAUUGCGCCUAUUAGUAUUCUAGUAGGCAUGCCUGUUCGAGCGUCAUUUCAACCCUCAAGCCCUGCUUGGUGUUGGGGCGUCUGCAGCUCCGGCUGCAGGCCCUGAAAUUCAGUGGCGGGCUCGCUAUAACUCCGAGCGUAGUAAUCUCUCUCGCUUUGGAAGUGUGGCGUGUUCCCGGCCGUAAAACCCCCAAAAUUCUGAAUGUUGACCUCGGAUCAGGUAGGAAUACCCGCUGAACUUAA